GGGCCUAUGGUAAAGUGGCAUCACCCAUCCAUGGCAUGGAUGGGUCGAGAGUUCGAUUCUCUCUAGGUCCA
rnacentral:tRNA from 1 species